CUUUAAUUCACCCCCUCUAAUUAAUCCAGUCCACCCUUUAAUUAAUUCACCCCCUUUAAUUAAUUCACCCCCUCUAAUUAAUCCAGUCCACCCUUUAAUUCACCCCUUUAAUUAAUUCACCCCCUCUAAUUAAUCCAGCCCACCCUUUAAUUAAUUCACCACCCCUUUAAUUAAUUCACCCCCCUCUAAUUAAUCCAGCCCACCCUUUAAUUAAUUCACCACCCCUUUAAUUAAUUCACCCCCCUCUAAUUAAUCCAGCCCACCCUUUAAUUAAUUCACCACCCCUUUAAUUAAUUCACCCCCUCUAAUUAAUCCAGUCCACC